AUUGAACGCUGGCGGCAGGCUUAACACAUGCAAGUCGAGCGGAAACGAUGAUAGCUUGCUAUCAGGCGUCGAGCGGCGGACGGGUGAGUAAUACUUAGGAAUCUACCUAGUAGUGGGGGAUAGCUCGGGGAAACUCGAAUUAAUACCGCAUACGUCCUACGGGAGAAAGGGGGCAACUUGUUGCUCUNGCUCUUANAAUGAGCCUAUNUCGGAUUAUCUAUAUGGGGGGGUAAAGGCCUACCNUGGGGACAAUCUGUGUCUGUGCUGNGAGGAUGAUCACCCACACCGGGACUGAGACACGGCCCGGACUCUUACNGGAGGCACCAGUGGGGAAUAUUGNACACUGGGGGGAACCCUGAGCCACCCAUGCCCCGUGUGUGAACAAAGCCUUUUGNUGUGAAGCACUUUUUGCACUGACUAAGACUCUUCGGUUAAUACCCGAGGACGAUGACAUUAUCUGCGCAAUAUGCACCGGCUAUCUCUGUGCCAGCAGCCGCGGUAAUACACAGGGUGCNCGCGCUAAUCGCAAUUACUGUGCGUAAAGCGAGCGNAUGUGGCUUGAUAAGUCACAUGUGAAAUCCCCGGGCUUAACCUGUGAACUGCGUCUGAGACUGUUAUGCUAUAGUAGGUGAGAGGGGAAUAGUAAUUUCACGUGUAGCGCGGAAAUGCGCAUAGAUCUGAAGGAAUACCCAUGGCGAAGGCGCCUUCCUGUGAUCAUACUGUCACUGUGGCUCUAAAGCGUGUGUAGCACAAACGAUUAUAUACCCUGGGAGUCCACGCCCUAAACGAUGUCUACUAUACGUUGGGGCCCUUGAGGACUUAUAGCGCCGCUAUCGCACUAUUUAUACCGCCUGUGGAGUAC
rnacentral:rRNA from 1 species